CAGAAUUUUACUCAGCCACUGCUGUUGAGUGUGGCUCUCCAUGUGAAACAGCCACCAUUUUGAUCAGAUCAGCUAUGUCCUACUGGUUGGAUUUUAAUGUUCGAAUCUCAGCUUGUCAUUGGGAAGAGGGAGAGAAUGAUGCUUCUGCACCCCUGGAAAGAAUCCUCACAACAAAACACUGUGGAAACGGAAUCAUAGUCAUCUGAGAGGAAGGAGCAGCAACGGAGAAGAGGCCCCAUUAGAUUGGCCUAUAGAAUGACCGUCUCUCAGGCCUGGCCAGCCAACUGGGCAAGUCCCCUGAAUCAUCGCUCACCACUGCCCAG
ensembl:lncRNA